AUGGCCUGGACUGUGCUCCUCCUCACCCUCCUCACUCAGGCCGUAGGUUCCUGGGCCCAGUCUGCUCUGACUCAGCCUUCCUCAGUGUCUGGGGCUCUGGGACAGUCAGUCACCAUCUCCUGUGCUGGGACCAGCAAUGACAUUGGGCGUUAUAAUGCUGUCUCUUGGCUCCAGCAGCUCCCUGGCAAGACACCCACACUCCUGAUUUAUGGUGUCAGUUCCCGGCCCUCAGGGAUCCCUGAUCGCUUCUCUGGCUCCAAGUCAGGCAACACGGCCACCUUGACCAUCUCUGGUCUCAAGCCUGAGGAUGAGGCUGAGUAUUACUGUAGCUCAAUCAGGACUGGUUAUACUUACCACAGUGGUCCCAGCCUGGACUCAGUUGUCCAGCACGACAUCUCCUUCUUCACUCGGGUCUGCGUUGCUGUCAGUGUGGCCUUUUUGGUGCUUACUCUUCUGCACAUUGCUGCUGAGAGAAGAGAUGCUGAGGAAGGGGAAAAUGUUGCUGAGACCUGA